GGCUCAGAGUGAACGCUGGCGGCAGGCCUAACACAUGCAAGUCGAGCGGCAGCGCGUCCGACCACCCUCGGGUGGUCGGAUGGCGGCGAGCGGCGGACGGGUGAGGAAUGCAUCGGAAUCUGCCUCGUUGUGGGGGAUAACGUAGGGAAACUUACGCUAAUACCGCAUACGGCCUACGGGUGAAAGUGGGGGACCUUCGGGCCUCACGCGAUGAGAUGAGCCGAUGCCGGAUUAGCUAGUUGGCGGAGUAAAGGCCCACCAAGGCGACGAUCCGUAGCUGGUCUGAGAGGAUGAUCAGCCACACUGGAACUGAGACACGGUCCAGACUCCUACGGGAGGCAGCAGUGGGGAAUAUUGGACAAUGGGGGCAACCCUGAUCCAGCCAUGCCGCGUGUGUGAAGAAGGCCUUCGGGUUGUAAAGCACUUUUGUUGGGGAAGAAACCGGCCGGGUUAAUACCCUGGUUGAAUGACGGUACCCAAAGAAUAAGCACCGGCUAACUUCGUG
rnacentral:rRNA from 1 species